CCAUCGGGGUCCCCAUGUCCACACUGCCACUGCCCAUGUGCCCACCCCACCAGGGUCCUCAUGUCCAUCCCAUUGGGGUCUGCAUAUCUAUCCCAUUGGGGUCUGCAUAUUCAUCCCACUGGGGUCUGCAUAUCCAUCCCACUGGGGUCUGUGCACCCAUCCCACCAAGGUCUGUGUGUCCAUCCCAUUGGGGUCCCCAUGUCCACACCACCACCGCCCAUGUGCCCACCCCACCAGGGUCCUCAUGUCCAUCCCAUUGGGGUCUGCGUAUCCAACCCAUCGGAGUCCCCACGUCCAUCCCCACUGGGCUCCCCAUACCCCAGCCCAGGGGGAGGCUGGAGGCGGCUGGGAGCUGAUGGGAUCGGGUGGUGAUGUGAAGACGCCGUAUUAAUAUUUAUUCCAUCAAGCGGGCGGCUCGCAGCUCGGCGCGGCUCCGCCGUGCUCUGACCGCAGCACCAACCCUCAGGCACCGCAAACACAAUUUGAAAACAAUGUGACGGAAAUGUUUAAUCUGCUCAGCCCAUCUGUGCUGCGUAUUUCUCCAGAUCUCCCUGAGAGAGGCGCCUUCGAAUCUCCACAUUGCCUUUAAUAUUCUCCUAAAUCACCUCCCCACCGCACUUCAAGGGCCAUUGCUACAAUAUCACAGCCAAUUAUUUUCGCCUUGAAAGCCUGAUGGAAGCGAGCAGCCGUCCGCGCUCGCCUCUGCCCGUGACCUGUGAAGAGGGCCGGCGGUAAUUGUGCACAUGUGUGUGCGCGCGUGCGAGGAGCCCGGCCGCCAGCGGAGGGAUGGGAACAGCAGGAGGAGGGCGAGGGGGGGGGGAUGCGGCCGAGUGUGACCCCCCCCCCCCCAAUUCCACCACAAGGGUCACCAGGCGCUGUGCAAACCCCCGCUCCCUCCCUGCGCUGGGAUUUGGGAUGCGUGCUCCCGGGAUGCCACCCUUGGGCCACGAUCCCUACCCGGGAGCCGUCCUGGAUGCGGCGCCCCGGGGCCGUGCAGCCGAAGGGGAAACCUCAGCGUGGGGCAAAGGGAUGGGGAGAGGAAGGAGAAACGCUGCCGGGUCCCGGGUGCGAGCGCUCCGCAUCCGCCCGGCUGUACCGGCUCGUAAAUACGGCGCGGAGAGCUGUAAUUUGGUGAUAGCUACCCCAGGACAUAUCGAGAUCCACUUCUGUUAUUUUAAUUAAAUACUGCAUUACGGUUUGUGACAA